GAUGAACGCUGGCGGCGUGCCUAAUACAUGCAAGUCGAGCGAACAGACGAGGAGCUUGCUCCUCUGACGUUAGCGGCGGACGGGUGAGUAACACGUGGAUAACCUACCUAUAAGACUGGGAUAACUUCGGGAAACCGGAGCUAAUACCGGAUAACAUGUUGAACCGCAUGGUUCAACAGUGAAAGACGGUCUUGCUGUCACGUAUAGAUGGAUCCGCGCCGCAUUAGCUAGUUGGUAAGGUAACGGCUUACCAAGGCAACGAUGCGUAGCCGACCUGAGAGGGUGAUCGGCCACACUGGAACUGAGACACGGUCCAGACUCCUACGGGAGGCAGCAGUAGGGAAUCCUCCGCAAUGGGCGAAAGCCUGACGGAGCAACGCCGCGUGAGUGAAGAAGGUCUUCGGAUCGUAAAACUCUGUUAUUAGGGAAGAACAAAUGUGUAAGUAACUAUGCACGUCUUGACGGUACCUAAUCAGAAAGCCACGGCUAACUACGUG
rnacentral:rRNA from 1 species